rnacentral:rRNA from 1 species
CCAGACUCCUACGGGAGGCAGCAGUGAGGAAUAUUGGUCAAUGGGCGGAAGCCUGAACCAGCCAAGUCGCGUGAGGGAAGAAGGCCCUGCGGGUCGCAGACCUCUUUGGACGGGGAGCAAGGCCGCCGACGUGUCGGCGGAAGGAGAGUACCCGUAGAACAAGCAUCGGCUAACUCCGUGCCAGCAGCCGCGGUAAUACGGAGGAUGCGAGCGUUAUCCGGAUUUAUUGGGUUUAAAGGGUGCGCAGGCGGCACGGCAAGCCGGCGGUCAAAUCGCGGGGCUCAACCCCGGUAUUGCAUUUGAAACUGUCCGGCUAGAGUGCAGGAGAGGUAAGCGGAAUUCCUAGUGUAGCGGUGAAAUGCGUAGAUAUUAGGAGGAACACCAGUGGCGAAGGCGGCUUACUGGACUGUAACUGACACUGAGGCACGAAAGCGUGGGGAGCAAACAGGAUUAGAUACCCCUGUAUUG